AUGAUCCUGUGCCUAAACUUUUUAUUCUUCCUUGUACUCCUUGGAGGUGUCUGCUCUGAGGUCCAGUUUGUGGAAUCUGGAGGACGUUUGAGAAAACCUGAGGAGUCCCUCCGUCUGACCUGCCAAGCCUCUGGAUUCACCUUCAGCAGCUCUGGCAUGAAUUGGGUGAGACAGGCUCCUGGAAAAGGCCUGGAAUGGGUUGCACUCAUCUAUCAUGAUUCCAGUGGAAAGUUCUACUCAGACAAAGUCAAGGGCCGCUUCACCAUCUCCAGGGACAAUGCCAAAAGCCAGCUGUAUCUGCAAAUGAACAGCCUCAAAGCCGACAACACGGCUGUCUAUUACUGUGCAAGAGGAAGUGACCGGCCACAUGACCACGGAGAUGUUUUU